rnacentral:ncRNA from 1 species
CAACCUCAGAUAGAGGUGCUGACCCACUGAAUUUAAGCGUAUGAGUCAACAGAGCAAAAGCAGCUCAGGAGGAGUCCUUUACUGAAAAGGGAAGAUGUGCCGUACAGAAGCCCCCAUCCCUGGCAUUGCUCUUGGGCGCGUGAGUGUCCAAGUCCUUCUGAUCGAGGCUCAGCCUGUAGAUGCAGUGAGGCCAGUAGCAGCCCCCCAGCGCAGUGGGCCUGAGGCUUCUCGGAGACAUGUUACUUGGGAAUGAGGCCCAGAGCUGGUGGUAGACUCCAUCUAAGGCUGAAUGCUCAUCACC